rnacentral:tRNA from 1 species
GCGGAUGUGGUGGAAUUGGUAGACACGCAUGCCUUAGGAGCAUGUGCCCUCGUGGCGUGAAGGUUCAAAUCCUUUCAUCCGCACCA